rnacentral:rRNA from 1 species
UGGGGAAUAUUGGACAAUGGGCGAAAGCCUGAUCCAGCCAUGCCGCGUGUGUGAAGAAGGUCUUCGGAUUGUAAAGCACUUUAAGUUGGGAGGAAGGGCAUUAACCUAAUACGUUAGUGUUUUGACGUUACCGACAGAAUAAGCACCGGCUAACUCUGUGCCAGCAGCCGCGGUAAUACAGAGGGUGCAAGCGUUAAUCGGAAUUACUGGGCGUAAAGCGCGCGUAGGUGGUUUGUUAAGUUGGAUGUGAAAUCCCCGGGCUCAACCUGGGAACUGCAUUCAAAACUGACUGACUAGAGUAUGGUAGAGGGUGGUGGAAUUUCCUGUGUAGCGGUGAAAUGCGUAGAUAUAGGAAGGAACACCAGUGGCGAAGGCGACCACCUGGGCUAAUACUGACACUGAGGUGCGAAAGCGUGGGGAGCAAGCA